AGCAGCCGCGGUAAUUCCAGCUCCAAUAGCGUAUAUUAAAGUUGUUGCAGUUAAAAAGCUCGUAGUUGAAUUUCGGGGUCAGUAGGCUGGUCGUGCCACAGGUACGCACUGGUCUCACUGGUUCCUCCUUCCUGAUGAACCGUAAUGCCAUUAAUUUGGUGUUGCGGGGAGACUGGACUGUUACUUUGAAAAAUUAGAGUGUUUAAAGCAAGUUAACGCUUGAAUACAUUAGCAUGGAAUAAUGAAAUAGGACGUUCGAUCCUAUUUUGUUGGUUUCUAGGAUUGACGUAAUGAUUAAUAGGGAUAGUUGGGGGCAUUAGUAUUCAAUUGUCAGAGGUGAAAUUCUUGGAUUUAUUGGAGACUAACUACUGCGAAAGCAUUUGCCAAGGAUGUUUUCAUUAAUCAAGAACGAAAGUUAGGGGAUCGAAGACGAUCAGAUACCGUCGUAGUCUUAACCAUAAACUAUGCCGACUAGGGAUCGGAUGAUGUUAAUUUUUAAUGACUCAUUCGGCGCCUUACG
rnacentral:sRNA from 1 species